GUGGGGAAUAUUGGGCAAUGGGCGCAAGCCUGACCCAGCAACGCCGCGUGAGGGAAGAAGGUCUUCGGAUUGUAAACCUCUGUCCUUGGGGACGAAAAAAAUGACGGUACCCAAGGAGGAAGCUCCGGCUAACUACGUGCCAGCAGCCGCGGUAAUACGUAGGGAGCGAGCGUUGUCCGGAAUUACUGGGCGUAAAGGGUGCGUAGGCGGCAUGGCAAGUCAGAUGUGAAAUCCCCGGGCUUAACUCGGGGGGUGCAUUUGAAACUGCUGUGCUUGAGUGCAGGAGAGGAAAGCGGAAUUCCUAGUGUAGCGGUGAAAUGCGUAGAUAUUAGGAGGAACACCAGUGGCGAAGGCGGCUUUCUGGACUGUAACUGACGCUGAGGCACGAAAGCGUGGGGAGCAAACAGGAUUAGAUACCCCGGUAGUCC
rnacentral:rRNA from 1 species